AUUGAACGCUAGCGGCAGGCCUAACACAUGCAAGUCGAGCGGAGCGGCGGACGGGUGAGUAAUGGCUAGGAAUCUGCCUGGUAGUGGGGGAUAACGUCCAGAAACGGGAGCAAAUACCGCUUACUCUCAGAUGAGCCGCGGUCGGAUUAGCUAGUGGGGGGGGUAAAGGCCUACCAAGGCGAAGAUCCGUAACUGGUCUGAGAGGAUGAUCAGCCACACUGGAACUGAGACACGGCCCAGACUCCUACGGGAGGCAGCAGUGGGGAAUAUUGGACAAUGGGCGAAAGCCUGAUCCAGCCAUGCCGCGUGUGUGAAGAAGGUCUUCGGAUUGUAAAGCACUUUAAGUUGGGAGGCGUUACCAACAGAAUAAGCACCGGCUAACUUCGUGCCAGCAGCCGCGGUAAUUC
rnacentral:rRNA from 1 species